rnacentral:lncRNA from 1 species
CGUCUCUAUCUGUUGCCGACUUGUUCAUCCCAAGCGCUUAGUACAGUGCUCUGCACAUAGUAAGCGCUCAAUAAAUACUAUUGAAUGAAUGAAUGAAUGAAUACCUGUUCCCCACAGCAUCCCUCCCCAGGGAGAUGUCUCCGUUAAGAACCACUCGCCCUGUCGCGCCCGGAGGAAACCCAUUUCAGAAACGAUGGCGGCACGUCCCCGAGAAGACAUCGCAGGAACUUCGCACGUCAUUAAAAUUUACCAGUGACAUCUCGGAGCGUUCGAUUCCCUCAAGCCCUCGGAAGCACGAUGGCCUCGGACGGGAGUCCUGCUGGCUCCCUGAAAAUCCGGCCUGCAACCAUCAAGCCGACCUGCGAGAAUCACAGACCGACGGAGGCACGGUUGAACUGCUGUACUUCCCCUCCGUGGAGGCUGGACUUCCUGGCUGAUCCUGAAGCAUUUCGUAUGAGGACCCUGACAUUCGACUCCCCGCAGGUCAUACCGCCGGUUAAUAUUUUCCACGGCAUUUUGGGCAAAUUCCCAACGUCCCAACCCCUUGGAGAAGGUGGGCUGAGAAGUCCUGUGCUUUAGCCAGGGACUGGAGGGAAAGAAAUCAGGCCACUGCCUUGGGGAGACAGAACAACUAUUCUUUUACCUUUCAGAAGAAAUUAGGGGCGAUUUUCCUCAAACUGUUUCAGUUCUGACCAGAUCCUCUGAGGGUUUGCGAGAGUUUUUCAAAAGCUUCGCAUAGGCAGAACUUGAAAACUGAUUGUUUUUCUCCCUCCGCCUCCCCUCUCUCAUUUCCCUUUUUUGCCAACUCUCAUACACCCCAAGGAUUGGUGGGGAGGAAAUCAAGAUUACCUUACCUUCGACAUCUCCCAGACAUGCCUCAUCUCCAGGGAUGAUUCUACACAGUAGUUACCAUGUGAGGAUUCUCCAAGAACGCUGACCAGCACGUAUCUUCUCACAUUCACACACCCUCACAAGUACCCACCCUUUCCCUUGGGUUCGAUGUUUUUACUUCACAACAUCACUAAAAUCUGCCCUCGCCUCUCCAUCCGAACUGCUUCUAUGCCGAUCCGAGCACUUAGCGUAUCAAUCCUGCCUUAAGUCCUGCACCGGCCUCCUCGGUGACCUCCGUCUCCUGUCUCUCCUCACUCCAGUUCGCAUUUCCCUCUGCCGUCCGGGUCGUUUUUGUCCAAAACUGUUCAGUCCGUGCUUCCCCGCUCCUCAUGAACCCCCGGGGUCGGCCUGUCCACCUCCACAUCAAACAGAAAUUCCUCAUUUAAAGCCAUCAGCUGCUCCCUGCCCAAUCUUUAGCUGAUUUCCUGUUACGACCCAGUCCGCACAAUUUAUUUCUCCAAUGCCGACUCACUUUACCUCCCUCUCGUCUACCUCUCCCGCAUCCUUCCUCUGACCUGGAACUCCCUCC